rnacentral:rRNA from 1 species
GCGAACGGGAUUAGAUACCCUGGUAGUCCACGCCGUAAACGAUGUCGACUUGGAGGUUGUUCCCUUGAGGAGUGGCUUCCGGAGCUAACGCGUUAAGUCGACCGCCUGGGGAGUACGGCCGCAAGGUUAAAACUCAAAUGAAUUGACGGGGGCCCGCACAAGCGGUGGAGCAUGUGGUUUAAUUCGAUGCAACGCGAAGAACCUUACCUACUCUUGACAUCCAGAGAACUUAGCAGAGAUGCUUUGGUGCCUUCGGGAACUCUGAGACAGGUGCUGCAUGGCUGUCGUCAGCUCGUGUUGUGAAAUGUUGGGUUAAGUCCCGCAACGAGCGCAACCCUUAUCCUUUGUUGCCAGCGGUUAGGCCGGGAACUCAAAGGAGACUGCCAGUGAUAAACUGGAGGAAGGUGGGGAUGACGUCAAGUCAUCAUGGCCCUUACGAGUAGGGCUACACACGUGCUACAAUGGCGCAUACAAAGAGAAGCGACCUCGCGAGAGCAAGCGGACCUCAUAAAGUGCGUCGUAGUCCGGAUUGGAGUCUGCAACUCGACUCCAUGAAGUCGGAAUCGCUAGUAAUCGUAGAUCAGAAUGCUACGGUGAAUACGUUCCCGGGCCUUGUACACACCGCCCGUCACACCAUGGGAGUGGGUUGCAAAAGAAGUAGGUAGCUUAACCUUCGGGAGGGCGCUUACCACUUUGUGAUUCAUGACUGGGG